rfam:Puccinia sorghi strain RO10H11247 Scaffold_5395, whole genome shotgun sequence.
GUGUACUUAGCUCAAUGACUAGAGCAUCACCCAUGAAUGCUGAGGUUGUGGGUUCGCAUCCCACAGUACACA